rnacentral:misc_RNA from 1 species
AUCCCACCACCAAUCCUCUCGCCGCCGAUAUCAUCCCCGUCCGGUCGAGUUGGGUCACCACGGCUGUACUUGGAGCCUACUGGCGGGAACCCCACCGCCGCCUCCCCGACCCUCAGCUCUCUAGCCUCAGGCCCGGAGUAGACCUCCUCCUGUUGGACAACACGACGAACUCCUCCACCCACCACGGUGGUCGCGGCGCUCUUCCUUCUGAGGGCGGCUCUCCUUCAGACCUCCUCUUUCUUGCCGGCGGCGGUUCUGCCGUCGUUGUUUGACUGACCAUCUUCUCCUUUUUUGUAAUUAACACCCAAAGUUUUUAGAUAAUAGAAAGAGAUGUUGACCAUUAAGAGGGUUCCCACCGUCGUCUCCAACUACCAGGAGGAUUCCGCCGGCGGUGAGCCGGUUGGGUGCGGUCGUAACUGUCUCGCAAAGUGCUGCCUUUUAGCGUCAAAGCUCCCUCUUUUCACUUUCAAAUCAGAUUCCAAGCCAGCCGGUUCUCCGGCCAGCCAGGAGGUCCUCCCUCCCGAUUUCUUCCUCCACACCCUUCUGCUCGGACAGUGGGAAGACAGGGUGAGCCGCGGGCUGUUCCGAUAUGAUGUGACGGCAUGUGAGACUAAGGUGAUUCCUGGGGAGCAUGGCUUCAUUGCCCAGCUGAACGAGGGCCGCCACCUGAAGAAGCGCCCUACCGAGUUCCGUGUGGAUCGGGUCCUUCAGCCCUUUGAUCCCUUGAAGUUCAACUUCACUAAGGUCGGGCAGGAGGAGGUGCUGUUCCGCUUUGAGGCUGGUGUGGAUGAUGACAAUGCUCGCUUCUAUGAGAGCACCCCUGUCAGUGAAACCAAUCCUCCCAAUGUCGUCGCAAUCAAUGUGAGCCCGAUUGAGUAUGGCCAUGUAUUGCUGAUCCCUCGUGUGCUCGACUGUCUGCCCCAGAGGAUUGAUCCCGAUAGUUUCUUACUUGCCGUCCACAUGGCGGCAGAAGCCCGUAGUCCAUACUUCCGACUUGGUUACAACAGUCUGGGUGCCUUUGCCACCAUCAAUCACCUUCACUUUCAGGCUUAUUUCAUGUCGAUGCCCUUCCCUGUGGAAAAGGCUCCAACGGUGAUGAUACCUGUUGUUGAAGGUCAGAGGAAGAGUGGAGUGAAGGUCUUACGGUUGCUAAAUUAUCCAGUCAGGGGCCUGGUUUUUGAGGGUGGGAACACCCUUAAGGACCUGGCUGAUGUCGUUGCCGAUUCCUGCAUCUGUCUUCAAGACAAUAACAUUCCAUAUAAUGUGCUUAUCUCGGAUUCGGGCCGGAGGAUCUUUCUCUUUCCACAGUGCUAUGCAGAAAAGCAGGCCCUUGGUGAGGUGGACCAAGAGCUUUUAGACACCCAAGUGAACCCCGCUGUCUGGGAGAUCAGCGGUCAUAUGGUGCUGAAGCGCAAGAAGGAUUUUGAAGAGGCAUCGGAGGACUAUGCUUGGAGGCUCCUGGCUGAAGUCUCUCUGUCCGAGGAGAGGUUUCGAGAGGUGAUGACCUACAUCUUCGAGGCCAUAGAUUUUGUGGAGGCUGAAGAGGGCGACCCAAAUGCAACCGAGAGCAAAGAAACCUCUCACCCUACUCCGGUUUCUGCGCAUUCCCCUGAGGGGUGUUUGGUUCUGCAGUGAAGGAUAUUCCUCUUGGUAGUAUUGACGCUAUUGCAGUUUACUUUCCUCUUGUAGUAUCGAUGCUAUUGCGAUAUUGUAGAUGGUUUGGGAACCUAGUAAGGAUUGUCGGCCUUGCUUGUUCCUCUUAUAUUCUCAGUCUUUUUAUGCUUAUGAACUGGGGCUGUAUUGGCUCAAUUGUGGUGGUUCUGAUCAGUGAUCUUAUAUUGAUUGCUGUAUUGGCAAAAAUGUUGUGUAGAUAUUUGUUUACCUGCAUUGGCUUGAAGUUGUU